rnacentral:sRNA from 1 species
GAGCCGCCGACGGGGCGGGUGGGCUUUGCGGCCGAGCAGGCGGCGCCGUCUUGGGGCCUAGCGGCGAGGCGACCCGCACAGUACUGUAAGAUUGAUGUUAAAGGCAUGGUGUUCACCCCACUUCAUCAGCGUACAUAAGUUAUCUCUUCUUUUGGACCCUUAUUUUAUGCCAUAAUGCAACAAGCUUUAGAACUAGCUUUGGAUCGUGCAGAGUAUGUCAUUGAAAGUGCCCGACAGAGACCUCCUAAAAGGAAAUACCUAUCAAGUGGAAGAAAAUCUGUAUUUCAAAAACUUUAUGACUUGUAUAUUGAAGAAUGUGAAAAAGAACCUGAAGUUAAGUCAAUUCUGUAGCUGACCCAGAGCUCUGGCUAAUCUGGCACCAGGCAGAGAUCACCUGCUGAGAAAUUAAGAAGAAAUGUGAACUUGUUAGAGAAGCUUGUUAUGCAAGAGACUUUGUCAUGUUUAGUGGUCAAUCUAUACCCAGGAAAUGAGGGAUAUUCUCUGAUGCUCAGGGGAAAAAACGGAUCAGAUUCCGAGACCAUUCGACUGCCCUAUGAAGAAGGAGAGUUGCUUGAAUAUUUGGAUGCAGAAGAAUUACCUCCUAUUUUGGUUGAUCUCCUAGAAAAAUCUCAGGUUAAUAUUUUUCAUUGCGGAUGUGUCAUAGCAGAAAUACGUGACUACAGGCAGUCCAGUAACAUGAAAUCUCCUGGUUACCAAAGUCGGCACAUUCUCUUACGUCCAACAAUGCAGACUUUAAUUUGUGAUGUACAUUCAAUAACAAGUGAUAACCAC